rnacentral:other from 1 species
AAGAUCCUGAGGUGUUCGUUAAGGUUUUGUAAUUUAACCUACGUUUAGUUCACGGGACUUCGCGUUUCCGCCGCCUAUGUCAGGCCCCCUUUGAGAGGAAGACAGAAGCAGGAACAGAAAACCCACCUAUCAUGGGAUAGGUUGUGAAUUAGGAACCUGACGACACAUUCGGGAUUUUU